rnacentral:rRNA from 1 species
UAAUUGAAGAGUUUGAUCAUGGCUCAGAUUGAACGCUGGCGGCAGGCCUAACACAUGCAAGUCGAGCGGUAACACAAGGGAGCUUGCUUCUGAGGUGACGAGCGGCGGACGGGUGAGUAAUGCCUAGGGAUCUGCCCAGUCGAGGGGGAUAA